rnacentral:rRNA from 1 species
AUCGAACGCUGGCGGCAGGCCUAAUACAUGCAAGUCGAACGAGUGGCGGACGGGUGAGUAAUGUCUGGGAAACUGCCUGAUGGAGGGGGAUAACUACUGGAAACGGUAGCUAAUACUGCAUACCAUCAGAUGUGCCCAGAUGGGAUUAGCUUGUUGGUGGGGUAACGGCUCACCAAGGCGACGAUCCCUAGCUGGUCUGAGAGGAUGACCGGCCACACUGGAACUGAGACACGGCCCAGACGCCUACGGGAGGCAGCAGUAGGGAAUAUUGCGCAAUGGGCGAAAGCCUGAUGCAGCCACGCCGCGUGAAUGAAGAAGGCCUUCGGGUUGUAAAGUACUUUCGGUGGGGAGGCGUUACCCGCAGAAAAAGCACCGGCUAACUCCGUGCCAGCAGCCGCGGUAAUUC